UACAGAGGUGGCAAGCGUUGUUCGGAAUUACUGGGCGUAAAGCGCACGUAGGCGGAUAUUUAAGUUAGGGGUGAAAUCCCAGGGCUCAACCCUGGAACUGCCUUUAAUACUGGGUAUCUCGAGUCCGAGAGAGGUGAGUGGAAUUCCGAGUGUAGAGGUGAAAUUCGUAGAUAUUCGGAGGAACACCAGUGGCGAAGGCGGCUCACUGGCUCGGUACUGACGCUGAGGUGCGAAAGCGUGGGGAGCGAACAGG
rnacentral:rRNA from 1 species